rnacentral:siRNA from 1 species
UUGAACCGAUCAGUUAACCGAUA